rnacentral:lncRNA from 1 species
UUCAUAUUAUCUAGGUUUAAACGCCGUCCAAGGAGCCGAGCAAGAAUGAGAGCCUGUUAUGAAGACAUCUGUUAGAAUAGGAAUAGGUUUAUACAAUCCUAUUUAGAAUAGGAAUAGGAAUACAAAUAGAAAUAGGAAUAGUAAAUAGUAUCCUACUUGGUAAAGGAUUGUAUUCUAGUGUCUAUAAAUAGGGUCUCAAUGUAAUAAUGUAGACACAACAACAAUUCAAUAAUAUUUUUUUCCUAUAUUCUCACAACAUCAAAACAAAAUGUUGUCAUGAGGGAUGUUCAACUUCUCAAAAUUUACAGAACCAAUUAGAACUAUGAACAUUUCGUGAAAGGUACCGAAAGUUGGAUAAGAUAUGCUUCCCAUCACAAUCUGCGAAAACGAUUCUGCCUAAAUCACUGCUUUUCUGCUCCCCAAAGGCACCAUCAUCCCAAGCACCAAAUAAGGAAAAAUUAUAACAAAGACAUCCAUUCAGCUAAAAUUCCCAUACUCAUAAAUGGACAACAUUCAGCAUAAGAAUAUCACAGAAAAAAUAUACUUCCUGAAAACACUUUCUACAGUGAGUGUGAGUAUAUAGCAGAUGAAACAUUAUGUCUUAAUUAUGCAUACUGAAAGACUACAGGUAAGUUCAGAUAAAAAAGAAA